GAUGAAGAACGUAGCGAAAUGCGAUAAGUAAUGUGAAUUGCAGAAUUCAGUGAAUCAUCGAAUCUUUGAACGCACAUUGCGCCCGCCAGUAUUCUGGCGGGCAUGCCUGUUCGAGCGUCAUUUCAACCCUCAAGACCCCUUCGGGGGACUUGGUGUUGGGGACCGGCUCAGGGGCCUUGCGCCCCUCGCCGCCCCCGAAAUGAAUUGGCGGCCUCGUCGCGGCCUCCCCUGCGUAGUAGCACAACCUCGCAACGGGAACGUGACGGCGGCCACUGCCGUAAAACAACCCAAUUUUAUUAGAGUUGACCUCGAAUCAGGUAGGAAUACCCGCUGAACUUAAGCAUAUCAAUAAGCGGAGGA
rnacentral:misc_RNA from 1 species